AUGGCCUGGACACCACUCGGCCACCUCACCCUCUUCAUUCACUGCACAGGGUCCCUGUCCCAGCCUGUGCUGACUCACCUGCCCUCUACAUCUGCCUCCCUGGGAGCCCCAGCUAAGCUCCCCUGCACCCUGAGCAGUGAAUACAGCAGCUACUGGAUUGAGUGGUACCAGCAGAGGCCAGGGAAGGGGCCCCAGUAUGCAAUGUACAUGAAGAGUGAUGGAAGCCAUAGCAAGGGUGAUGGGAUCACUGAUCACUUCUCAGGCUCCAGCUCUGGAGCCAACCACUACUUAACCAUCAGCGAACUCCAACCUGAGGAUGGGGCUGCCUAUUUUUGUGGGGCACAUCAUGGCAGUGAGAGCAGAUGUGUGUAA